rnacentral:rRNA from 1 species
UACGUAGGUGGCAAGCGUUGUCCGGAUUUACUGGGCGUAAAGGAUGCGUAGGCUGACAUUUAAGUCAGAUGUGAAAUACCCGAGCUUAACUUGGGUGCUGCAUUUGAAACUGGGUGUCUAGAGUGCAGGAGAGGUAAGUGGAAUUCCUAGUGUAGCGGUGAAAUGCGUAGAGAUUAGGAAGAACACCAGUGGCGAAGGCGACUUACUGGACUGUAACUGACGCUGAGGCAUGAAAGCGUGGGGAGCAAACAGG